rnacentral:rRNA from 1 species
UGACGGUACCUGACUAAGAAGCCCCGGCUAACUACGUGCCAGCAGCCGCGGUAAUACGUAGGUGGCAAGCGUUAUCCGGAUUUAUUGGGCGUAAAGGGAACGCAGGCGGUUUUUUAAGUCUGAUGUGAAAGCCUUCGGCUUAACCGGAGAAUAGCAUUGGAAACUGGAAGACUUGAGUGCAGAAGAGGAGAGUGGAAUUCCAUGUGUAGCGGUGAAAUGCGUAGAUAUAUGGAGGAACACCAGUGGCGAAAGCGGCUCUCUGGUCUGUAACUGACGCUGAGGUUCGAAAGCGUGGGUAGCAAACAGGAUUAGAUACCCUG